UAAGUAAGCUUUGAUCCAGAGAUUUCCGAAUGGGGAAACCCAGCAUGAGUUAUGUCAUGUUAUCGAUAUGUGAAUACAUAGCAUAUCAGAAGGCACACCCGGAGAACUGAAACAUCUUAGUACCCGGAGGAAGAGAAAGAAAAUUCGAUUCCCUUAGUAGCGGCGAGCGAAACGGGAAGAGCCCAAACCAACAAGCUUGCUUGUUGGGGUUGUAGGACACUCUAUACGGAGUUACAAAGGACGACAUUAGACGAAUCAUCUGGAAAGAUGAAUCAAAGAAGGUAAUAAUCCUGUAGUCGAAAAUGUUGUCUCUCUUGAGUGGAUCCUGAGUACGACGGAGCACGUGAAAUUCCGUCGGAAUCUGGGAGGACCAUCUCCUAAGGCUAAAUACUCUCUAGUGACCGAUAGUGAACCAGUACCGUGAGGGAAAGGUGAAAAGCACCCCGGAAGGGGAGUGAAAUAGAACCUGAAACCGUGUGCUUACAAGUAGUCAGAGCCCGUUAAUG
rnacentral:rRNA from 1 species